rnacentral:rRNA from 1 species
GACGAAGGGGGCUAGCGUUGUUCGGAAUUACUGGGCGUAAAGCGCGUGUAGGCGGUUGUCCAAGUUGGAUGUGAAAGCCUUGAGCUUAACUCAAGAAAUGCAUUCAGGACUGGAUGACUAGAGGACCGGAGAGGAUAGUGGAAUUCCCAGUGUAGUGGUGAAAUACGUAGAGAUUGGGAAGAACACCAGUGGCGAAGGCGGCUAUCUGGACGGUUUCUGACGCUAAGGAGCGAAAGCGUGGGGAGCGAACAGG